UGUAGCUCAGUGGUAGAGCACUUGCCUAGCAUGCUACAAGUCUUGAGUUCAACACUCAGCA
rnacentral:tRNA from 1 species